rnacentral:snRNA from 1 species
NNNNGUGAGGGCUUUCUGGUUGCGACAUCUGUCACCUUAUUGAUCCACCAAGGUGAUUUUGGUUGAUCUGACUGGCUAGGACGGGUGUCCCCUUCCCUUCCUCAACGCUCCAUGUGUGCCCUUCCCCAAAAGCUGUGUGGUUGAAGAGGACCACCCUCUCUGAUAGAAGGAGGACCCUCCUUCAGUCAAGGGUCUAUGAGUAGCUGCGCUCCCCAGGGGAACCCUCCAAACAUCUGUCCAGGCCCAACAGUGGGCUUUUCUCUGCAGGGCGCCAGGCCUCUUGGAUCUCAUUCUGCGCAUCCUUUGUAUUGAAGUCUCCCAAGAA